rnacentral:rRNA from 1 species
CCUACGGGUGGCAGCAGUGGGGAAUAUUGCACAAUGGGGGAAACCCUGAUGCAGCGACGCCGCGUGAGCGAGGAAGUAUUUCGGUAUGUAAAGCUCUAUCAGCAGGGACGAAAAAAGACGGUACCUGACUAAGAAGCCCCGGCUAACUACGUGCCAGCAGCCGCGGUAAGACGGAGGGGGCAAGCGUUAUCCGGAUUUACUGGGUGUAAAGGGAGCGGAGACGGUGCAGCAAGUCUGAUGUGAAAGGUCGGGGCCCAACCCCGGGACUGCAUUGGAAACUGUUGAACUGGAGUACAGGAGAGGUAAGCGGAAUUCCUAGUGUAGCGGUGAAAUGCGUAGAUAUUAGGCGGAACACCAGUGGCGAAGGCGGCUUACUGGACUGUAACUGACGUUGAGGCUCGAAAGCGUGGGGAGCAAACAGGAUUAGAUACCCGGGUAGUC